rnacentral:rRNA from 1 species
AUUGAACGCUGGCGGCAGGCUUAACACAUGCAAGUCGAACGGAAGAGCGGAGUUUGCUCUGGGAGCUAGCGGCGGACGGGUGAGUAAUGCAUAGGAAUCUGCCUGGUAGUGGGUGAUAACGCCCUGAAAGGGGUGCUAAUACCGCAUACGACCUGAGGGUGCAAGCGGGGGAGCGUAGGACCUCUCGCUAUUAGAUGAGCCGAGGUCGGAUUAGCUAGUUGGUGGGGUAAAUGCCUACCAAGGCGACGAUCCGUAGCUGGUCUGAGAGGAUGGUCAGCCACACUGGAACUGAGACACGGCCAAGUCUCCUAAGGGAGGGCGCAGUGGGGAAUAGUGGGCAAGAGGGGGAAACCUGGUACAAGCAGGGCACGGGUGGGAAAGAGGCCUUCGGGUUGGAAAGCCGUUUUUGUUGGGAUAAAAAGCUUUCGGUUAAUACCAUGCGGGGGUGACGGUACCGGAAGAAUAAGCACCGGCUAACUACGUG